GGAUAUGACGAUUUUUUUAUUGUCGCCCCAGUCUUACUUGCAAUACAAAAUUGCAAUUUGGUGAUUGACAUUUUUAUCUGAUCC
rnacentral:snoRNA from 1 species